UACUAUUUCUAUUUUCAUCGAUGUUGUAAUCUUUGUUGACGUUUGAAAUUGCCGAUCCCAGUGGUGCAAUAUGCAACAGUACUCGAAAGUCUCCAAGAAGGUUCGUUUUUUGUAAGCCGAACUGAAUUUGACUUUGGAACGACGCAAGCUAACGAUUUUUAGUGGUUUAAAAAAAUGUGUUUUAAUACUUCAUGCGAUAAUUGAUCGUCGCACGAUUGAUUCGAUUGAGGAAAUCAAUGACGUGAAAAAGCGGCCGUUCGAAAAACGAAAUUACAGGCCCUGGCAGACGGAAAGAAUAGUUUAGUUGUUCCAAAUUAAAACUGCAAUUCCUGACUGAUUCUGAAGUUGAAAGUUCAUACACUCAAUCUGAGUUAUUAGGUUGGCUCAGGAUUAAGAAAACACGAGUUUAUGUUCUCUCGACUAGGCUUACGUUCUAUUGAUAGAAAAAAGGCCUCUGCUGCUCGCUGUAAGAGAAUGAUAUCCUUCACUGCAGGGAAAUUUUUGUUAAGUACCUCAUCCCUAGGACCAGUACCACAGCUGUUUGAAACGUUUCUCUAUUCUUUUGAUUGCAGUGUGUAAAGAUAUAAAACAUAGAGAGAAAGAGGAGGAGUUACAUUUUUCAGAUUUGGAAAACGAAGGGAAAGUAGUAGUCCCCUUACUUAAAGCUUUGUGUGAAGCAAUUGAGGACAAAGUCUCCACUGGAAGAUCGUUCAUCGAAAGGAUGAGAACUGCGAGGCAAAACUUUCCUCCACAGCACUCUCACAUCGUCGAGUCUGGUGAACCCAAGAAACUCGAAAAAGUUAAAGAUAUCUUGAAUCCUACAAAAGACUGGACACCAGAGUUGGCAGAAGAGAUGCUCCGCACUUGUACCAGGAGGAAGCGAGCCUACAAAGCUGCUUUCAUCGGCUUGUCAGCGAUCACCCUCUUCAUUUUCCAUUCACUUCCGGCAUUUGAUUUUUUGUUCCUGUUUAUUUACUGUAACUUUUUGAUCAUGGUUAUAACCCUCUGACCUAAGCAAAACUCUACUGUUUUCAAAAACUGCCAUGAAACUAAUGAAAAUGUCUUAUAUAACCAAAAGUUUAAGAACCUGGAAAAGACAUUUGAAUUUCAAGGUAGGCGCCCCUAUGGAUCGUAUGUAUAUACUAUAUGACGUAGCACGAUGGCUACUCAAACAAUUGCUCUGAUGUUCACAGGAGUCCAAAUAGGAUCUUGAAGAUGAUACGUAGUAGCAACCUGUAAGUGUCAAAACAGUGGUCAGACGUCUGCGCAUGUGUAAAAGUUUGAUAAAGUUCAAAACAGAAUGGUAGAAGGUAAACUUAAUGUAAAUAUUCAGUAGCAUGACUUAAGCGUAAUCACCUGCCGAAGGCCUGCAGUAGAAAAAUACAAGAAAAAACUGUAAGUGUUCAUUAAGGGUUGACUGAAGUUUCGCCAGAAUUACUGCAUCAUGACCAAGAGAUUAUAGUCUCUUGAUCAAGAUUUAGUGGCUAAG